UUUCUUUUAGUUUCCGGUAUCUCUGCAAUGGCGGCUCUGGACUCCCUGUCGCUGUUCACUAGCCUCGGCCUGAGCGAGCAGAAGGCCCGCGAGACGCUCAAGAACUCGGCUCUGAGCGCGCAGCUGCGCGAGGCCGCUACUCAGGCUCAGCAGACCCUGGGUUCCACCAUUGACAAAGCUACCGGGACCCUGUUAUAUGGCUUGGCCUCCCGACUCAGGGAUACCCGGCGUCUCUCCUUCCUUCUGCCCUUGAGUAUGUGCGGAGUCACCCCUUGGACCCCGUCGACACUGUGGACUUCGAGCGGGAAUGUGGCGUGGGUGUCAUUGUGACCCCAGAGCAGAUUGAGGAGGCUGUGGAGGCUGCUAUUAACAGGCACCGGCCCCAGCUCCUGGUGGAACGUUACCAUUUCAACAUGGGGCUGCUGAUGGGUGAGCAGGGCCUGGAACGGGGCUAUAUUGUUCUCUCUGGUCAUGCCUUUUCUUCUGGGCACGAGUGAGAAGGAGGUGGGGGAAGGAACAGGAGUGACUUAAAGUGGUCUGGCUGGGCUCAGGCUCUGGUUCUCGUGGUCAGCCAGGACCUUUC
rnacentral:sRNA from 1 species